rnacentral:rRNA from 1 species
GACGAACGCUGGCGGCGUGCUUAACACAUGCAAGUCGAACGGAAAGGCCCUGCUUUUGUGGGGUGCUCGAGUGGCGAACGGGUGAGUAACACGUGAGUAACCUGCCCUUGACUUUGGGAUAACUUCAGGAAACUGGGGCUAAUACCGGAUAGGAGCUCCUGCUGCAUGGUGGGGGUUGGAAAGUUUCGGCGGUUGGGGAUGGACUCGCGGCUUAUCAGCUUGUUGGUGGGGUAGUGUCUUACCAAGGCUUUGACGGGUAGCCGGCCUGAGAGGGUGACCGGCAAAAUUGGGACUGAGAGACGGCCAAGACGCCAACGGGAGGCAGCAGUGGGGAAUAGUGCACAAUGGGGGGAAGCCUGAUGCAGCAACGCCGCGUGCGGGAUGACGGCCUUCGGGUUGUAAACCGCUUUCGCCUGUGACGAAGCGUGAGUGACGGUAAUGGGUAAAGAAGCACCGGCUAACUACGUG